rnacentral:rRNA from 1 species
CGGACGGGUGAGUAAUGCUUGGGAAUCUAGCUUAUGAGGGGGAGUAACUACGGGAAACUGUAGCUAAUACCGCGUAGAAUCGGGAGAUGAAAGUGUGGGACCUUCGGGCCACAUGCCAUAGGAUGAGCCCAAGUGGGAUUAGGUAGUUGGUGAGGUAAAGGCUCACCAAGCCGACGAUCUCUAGCUGGUCUGGGAGGAUGACCAGCCACACUGGGACUGAGACACGGCCCAG